rnacentral:rRNA from 1 species
CGGAUGUGUCCUACGGGAUAAAGAUUUAUCGCUUGGAGAGGGGCCUGCUUCCUAUCAGCUAGUUGGUAAGGUAAUGGCUUACCAAGGCAAUGACGGGUAAUUGGUCUGAGAGGAUGACCAGUCACAAUGGAACUGAGACACGGUCCAUACUCCUACGGGAGGCAGCAGUGAGGAAUCUUCCACAAUGGGCGAAAGCCUGAUGGAGCGACACCGCGUGAAGGAUGAAGGAUUUGUUUUCGUAAACUUCUUUUCUCUGGGAAGAUAAUGACGGUACCAGAGGAAUAAGGGACGGCUAACUACGUGCCAGCAGCCGCGGUAAUACGUAGGUCCCAAGCGUUAUCCGGAAUUACUGGGCGUAAAGCGUCUGUAGGCGGAUGGGUAAGUUUUGUAUGAAAGACCGGAGCUCAACUCCGUG